rnacentral:lncRNA from 1 species
UUGAACGAUAGAAAAGUGAAUCAAAAUGAAAGCAAUCAGGAUCUGUUCCUCCCAUUCGUGCAAUAUACACUAUGCAAGUAUUUAUUGUUUAAGAAUGUUGAUGGCAAUUUGCAAUUUCUUAAUUGAAUAAGAGGCUGGCAAUGUAGACUUUGAGAAGAAAAAAUUAUAUUAAAUUGCAAUAAAAAUCUUUGUUUAUUGAAUGGACCGCUUAUUCUAUGAUAUUUUUUUUUCAUUUUUCACAGUUAUACAGUGCCACACUAAGAGUACAUGGAUCCUAUAUCAGACAUAUAUAUUGACUGCAUCAGUUCAUUGAUUAUCCAGCAAUUAAGGUACGCAACAAAAUGUUCAUUCCAAUUGAAAAUAACUUACAUGUUUGGCAUUUGAAAUUGAAAAACAACGGAGACUUUGCC